UGGGGAAUAUUGCACAAUGGGCGCAAGCCUGAUGCAGCAACGCCGCGUGAACGAUGAAGGUCUUCGGAUCGUAAAGUUCUGUUGCAGGGGAAGAUAAUGACGGUACCCUGUGAGGAAGCCCCGGCUAACUACGUGCCAGCAGCCGCGGUAAUACGUAGGGGCCUACCGUUAUCCGGAUUUACUGGGCGUAAAGGGUGCGUAGGUGGUCUUUCAAGUCGGUGGUUAAAGGCUACGGCUCAACCGUAGUUAGCCUCCGAAACUGGAAGACUUUGGUGCAGGAGAGGAAAGUGGAAUUCCCGGUGUAGCGGUGAAAUGCGUAGAUAUUGGGAGGAAAACCAGUAGCGAAGGCGGCUUUCUGGACUGCAACUGACACUGAGGCACGAAAGCGUGGGUAGCAAACAGG
rnacentral:rRNA from 1 species